CCCUUAGAUGUUCUGGGCCGCACGCGUGCUACACUGAGUGGAUCAGCGGGUCAGGUUGCGCGAAAGUGUUUCCUAAUCUUUAAAUCCGCUCGUGAUGGGGAUUGACGGUUGCAAUUUUCCGUCAUGAACGAGGAAUACCUUGUAAGCGCGGGUCAUCAUCCCGCGCUGAAUACGUCCCUGCCCUUUGUACACACCGCCCGUCGCUCCUACCGAUUGAGUGGUCCGGUGAGGCUUUGGGAUCUGGGCGGAAAGAGCGUUUCGCUGUUUCUGCCCGGGAAACUCAGUCGAACCUUAUCAUUUAGAGGAAGGAGAAGUCGUAACA
rnacentral:rRNA from 1 species